CAGCUGGGGCCCACUUGUCAGCGUCCUCCUCCCUCUCCUACCUUUCUUCCUCCCCUGCACCGUAUCCGAUCGGGACGCAAAAACCGGUAUCAAAUCUCCGGGAUUUUCGAGAUUUUGGAUGGAACCGACACCCUUAUAAGGCCGGAUACCUCCUGCGCAUCUCGUUUUCUCCUUCUACAAAGCAUGAAGACGCCCUAGUUGCCAUUGAAGCCGAGGAUUUGGAUCUUGCCGAGCCGAAUCCGUCAGCCGCCGUGAAAGACCACUCAUCGGAGCUUUUUGGCGGAAUUUGAUCGAGUGCCGAGCUGCGUGAGGUGUUUUCGGAGUUUCCG
rnacentral:lncRNA from 1 species